rnacentral:rRNA from 1 species
AGUGAACGCUGGCGGUAGGCCUAACACAUGCAAGUCGAACGGCAGCACAGUAAGAGCUUGCUCUUACGGGUGGCGAGUGGCGGACGGGUGAGGAAUACAUCGGAAUCUACUUUUUCGUGGGGGAUAACGUAGGGAAACUUACGCUAAUACCGCAUACGACCUACGGGUGAAAGCAGGGGAUCUUCGGACCUUGCGCGAUUGAAUGAGCCGAUGUCGGGUUAGCUAGUUGGCAGGGUAAAGGCCCACCAAGGCGACGAUCCGUAGCUGGUCUGAGAGGAUGAUCAGCCACACUGGAACUGAGACACGGUCCAGACUCCUACGGGAGGCAGCAGUGGGGAAUAUUGGACAAUGGGCGCAAGCCUGAUCCAGCCAUACCGCGUGAGUGAAGAAGGCCUUCGGGUUGUAAAGCCCUUUUGUUGGGAAAGAAAAGCAGCAGAUUAAUACCCCGCUGUUCUGACGGUACCCAAAGAAUAAGCACCGGCUAACUUCGUG